rnacentral:lncRNA from 10 species
GAACAAAGGGAAAGAAGGCUAUGUAUAGCUUUAUUUAAUUCUUCCUUCAGUUCCGUGAGGUCUUACCAUCACCACUUCAGCCUGGCAUCAAACUAGGGCAGAUGCUGAACAUGCUCUUUUCAAAGUAGAGAAACAGUCUUUUGCUUUGUUUUGUUGCCUUGUGGAAGUCUGAAGACAAGUCAAGAUGUUUAUCUCUCCUGCACUUCAUUUCUACACAAGUUAGUGAGAAACAGAGUCGUGGGAAUUGCUUUCUUGGAGUAGAGGCCAGAGUGACCUCAACAGUCUCCCCUAGGCCCUUCCUCCACCAUUUUUUGGGUGAAGCUGAGUGCUUUGCUGCAAAAUACCCCCUACUUGGUGUUUGCCUGGUUCUUUCUGGAAUGUAAAACCCCUUUGUCUGCUCAACACCGCUGGUGGCUUUAUGCGAGCAGUGAAUUCACAUCUAUAGAAGAGAAAAUCAAGGCUGGUCACUGAGCCCGGUGAGAAAGCUCAGGCGACUUUCAGGACUCUUGCCUUCUUCACAGAUUGCCAGAACAAUAAACUUUCAUCUUACAA